GGAAAUAAAUGACUGGAUGGUCGCUGCUUUUUAAGUUUCAAAUUGACAUUCCAGACAAGCGGUGCCUGAGCCCGUGCCUGUCUUCAGAUCUUCACAGCACAGUUCCUGGGAAGGUGGAGCCACCAGCCUCUCCCUGGCUCUGCCGACUUCCAGUUCUGGAACAAGAUGGUUAAACUCAUUUUUCCCUGCUCUGCUCCUCUAAAUACAACUAAGUACCUUGGAAACUAUUCAGCAGACAAUGAUAAAGGGCUCUGAAAGCUAGAAGAAAAGGUGUACUUGCAAGAAACCUCAGGACUUGAGUAACAGCAACAUGAACAAUCCAUUUCACAGAUGAAGAAACAGACUCAGUGAGCACGUGAUCACUUCUCACAACUAAUGGAGCCAAGAUUCUGUCCUUAUGGCUCCAGAGACCUCUUUUUUUUCCCACUGUACCACAACACUCACCAGGACUGGAGUGCCACCUAUGACCUCAUUGCAUAAUGGAUGGCUUGUCCUCAAAUGGGCCCGGCUGGAGGUACCAUGCACCUUUGAGGGACCAAGGACCCAAGACUUGAGGUAGACACUAUUCCCAGCUGGAUACUCUCAAUGUUGAGGAUAUAGAUGCACAAACCAAUGCAGGGAGGCCUCCAGGAGCCACUGGAGAAGAAAUCUUCAGAUCCUACCAGGCCCAUAGCUGUUGCCUUUGUGGGCUCCUGGGUUAAUUUCCACACAUCAGUGGCCCACCUUAUGAUAUCCUCCCUGCAUGCCACACUCCCGGCCAUGCUCUGUGGACAGCCAUUAUUUCCAGUAAUUGCUAAUGGGAGCCAGUCUCCAAAGAGUAAUGAAUCAGAGGUGUUCCUUGGAAUGUGUUACACUAGGACUUCGCCGAUCUCACAGGCUCCUUUCCAGAUGAGCUGACUGUAAUCUCUGGGAAGCUGGAUCUGGAGGAACAAUGGGAUGGGAUUUGCGGUGACCCUUCCUGCCCUUCUUGAGCAGCUUGUGAACCAGAAGAUGUGCCUGGAGAGAAAGCCUCAUUUGGGGAAGUGCAGUAGUCGAAGUUCUUUAUUUUGAAAAUGGAGAACAACCCUUCUCACAAUCCUGUCUCCCCUUCCCCCUUUCCAACUAGAAUAUCAGCUCCCCUGAACAUGAGUCAGUCACAUUUCAGGGAAAACUGGCUGAUGUUGAAGAAAUCACUUGAGGGCAAACUUUGUCCUUCAAGCUGUGGGUCUCUGAAGUGUAGAGCCAGCAGAUCCCCCAGUGUAGGGACUGGGCCUUCCUUGCCCAUUGAAUGCUUUCUAUACAUGAAGACUUGGAGCUCUUUACAGAUGACAGUAGCCAGUGAGGAAGAUAAAAGAAGAGAAAAGACCCAAAAUGCGGGUUUGCCACUCUUUUUUGCCAGCACCGUGGGGACAGUCACUCUGCCUUCUUUCCACCACCUCCAACUUCACACUCACACGCACACUCUGGUCCCACAGAGCCUGUUUGGUACUUGCCUGACAGCCCACCUUGAAACCAGAUGGUCAUGAACCUGUCACCAAGUCAUCUGAAGAUCUUCCACUGCAACCUGUAUGGCAUCUGCCACAGGGACCAUGGGACAUGAUUGAAGAACCACUCCAGUGCAGUUGAUGAAGGGGUGGGUCUGCACUGGAGUUAGGUGCACCAGGGCCUGGGCCAAGGGUGGGCUGGGUCCAUCUUGUGUGUGGUGGUCUUCUUCAGAGUAGCAGCUGAUUCAGAGGGAUUCCAUAGAACUGCACAGGCUAGGUCUAGUCAGAUAUCUUGGACAUUUUCUAUUUCUAGAUUAGAGAAUAUAGCAUACGCUGAUUUUAAUAUAACUGUGUAUGUGACUUUUUCAGUGAGAAAAAUUUUAAGUGAUGUUCUAAACAAUUUUUGGCAUGUAGACAGAAUAGUCAAAUAUCUGUUUAACUAGCAACAUAGUUACUCGUGCAUAUUUAAAAUACUACAUGAGUAUGGCCUGGCACAGUGGCUCAUGCCUGUAAUCCUAGCACUCUGGGAGGCCGAGGUGAGCAUAUUGCCUGAGUUCAGUUUGAGACCACUUUGGACAACAUGGUGAAACCCUGACUCUAUAAAAAUACAAAAAUGUAGCCAGGUGUGGUGGUGCGUGCCUGUAGUCCCGGCUACUUGGGAAGCUGAGGUGCAAGAAUUGCCUGAACCUGAGAGGCAGAGGUUGCAGUGACCUGAGAUUGUGUCACUGCACUCCAGCCUAGGUGACAGAGCAAGACUACAUCUCAAAAAAUAAAACAAAAUAAAAUAGGCCCUGUGCCGUGGCUCACGCCUGUAAUUCCAGCAUUUUGGGCAGCUGAGGCGGGCAGACCACCUGAGGUCAGGAGUUCAAGACCAGCCUGACCGACAUGGUGAAACCCCAUCUAUACUAAAUACAAAAAAUUAGCCAGGUAUGGUGAUGCAUGCCUGUAGUCCAAGCUACUUGGGAGGCUGAGGCAGGAGAGAAUGGCUUCAACCUGGGAGGCAGAGGUUGCAGUGAGCCGAGAUUGCGCCACUGCACUCCAGCCUGGGUGAUAGAGCAAGACUUCGUCUCAAACAAUAAAAUAAUAAAAUAAAAU
rnacentral:lncRNA from 1 species